UACGGAAGGCCCGAGCGUUAAUCGGAAUCACUGGGCUUAAAGCGUGCGCAGGCGGACCGGCAGGCAUCUUGUGAAAGCCCACGGCUCAACCGUGGAAUUGCGGGGUGAACCGCCGGUCUCGAGGCAGGUAGGGGUGAGUGGAACUAUGGGUGGAGCGGUGAAAUGCGUAGAUAUCCAUGGGAACGCCAAUGGCGAAGGCAACUCACUGGGCCUGUCCUGACGCUCAGGCACGAAAGCGUGGGGAGCGAACGGG
rnacentral:misc_RNA from 1 species